GUCUUUUUGAAAUAAUUUAAAGUCUAAUCUGCCCACUGAUAAAAAUUAAAGGGCUGCAGUAUAAUGACUGUACAAAGGUAGCAUAAUCAAUAGUUUUUUAAUUGGAAACUUGUAUGAAAGAUUUGAUGAAAUAUAAACUGUCUCUAUUUUAUAAAUUGAAUUUUAUUUUUUAGUAAAAAAGCUAAAAUAAAUUUAAAAGACGAGAAGACCCUAUAGAGUUUUAUAUUUAAUUUUAUUUGAAAAUUAUAUAAAAAUUAUUAUUUAAAUAAAAUUAAUUAUUAUGUUGGGGUGACAGAAAAAUUAAAUUAACUUUUUUUAAAAAUUAAACAUAAAUAAGUGAUUAUAUGAUCCAUAAAUAAUGAUUAUAAGAAAAAAUUACCUUAGGGAUAACAGCGUAAUAUUUUUUUUUAGUUCAAAUAAAAAAGAAAGUUUGCGACCUCGAUGUUGGAUUAAGAUAAAAUUUAAAUGCAAAAGUUUAAAAUUUUUGAUCUGUUCGAUCAUUAAAAUCUU
rnacentral:rRNA from 2 species